CGAACGCUGGCGGCGUGCUUAACACAUGCAAGUCGUACGGUAAGGCCCUUUCGGGGGUACACGAGUGGCGAACGGGUGAGUAACACGUGAGUAACCUGCCCACAACUUUGGGAUAACGCUAGGAAACUGGUGCUAAUACUGGAUAUGUGCUCCUGCUGCAUGGUGGGGGUUGGAAAGCUCCGGCGGUUGUGGAUGGACUCGCGGCCUAUCAGCUUGUUGGUGGGAUAGUGUCCUACCAAGGCGGCGACGGGUAGCCGGCCAGAGAGGGUGACCGGCCACAGUGGGACUGAGGUACGGCACAGACUCGAACGGGACGCAGCAGGGGGGAAUGUUGCACGACGGGCGCAGGCCUGAGGCAGAAGCGCCGCGGGCGGGAUGACGUCGUUCGGGUUGCAAACCGCUGACAGCAGGGACGAAGCUUUUUGUGAGGGUACCUAAAGAGAAAGCAACGGCUAACUACGUG
rnacentral:rRNA from 1 species